AUUGAACGCUGGCGGAAUGCUUUACACAUGCAAGUCGAACGGUAGAGGGGGCAACCCCUUGAGAGUGGCGAACGGGUGAGUAAUGUAUCGGAACGCGCCCAGUCGUGGGGGAUAACGUAGUGAAAAUUACGCUAAUACCGCAUACGAUCUAUGGAUGAAAGCGGGGGAUCGCAAGACCUCGCGCGAUUGGAGCGGCCGAUAUCAGAUUAGGUAGUUGGGGGGGUAGAGGCUAACCAAGCCAACGAUCUGUAGCUGGUCUGAGAGGACGACCAGCCACACGGGAACUGAGGCACGGUCCAGACUCCUACGGGAGGCAGCAGUGGGGAAUUUUGGACAAUGGACGCAAGUCUGAUCCAGCCAUUCCGCGUGCAGGACGAAGGCCUUCGGGUUGUAAACUGCUUUUGUACGGAACGAAAAAGCCCUUAUUAAUACUAGGAGUCCAUGACGGUACCGUAAGAAUAAGCACCGGCUAACUACGUGCCAGCAGCCGCCGUAA
rnacentral:rRNA from 1 species